rnacentral:lncRNA from 1 species
UACAGUUUCAGAGGUUCAGUCCAUUAUCAUCACAGUAGGUAGCACAGCAGAAUCCAGGCAGACACAGUUCUGGAAAAGGAGCUGAGAGUUCUGCAUCUUGACCUGACUGCAUCCAGGAUAGACUGUCUCCCAGGCAGCUAGGAGGAGGGUCUUAUUGUCCACCCCCACAGUGACACACUUCCUCCAACAAGGCCAUACCUCCUAAUAAUGCCACUCCCUAGGACAAGCAUAUUCAAACCACAAUCAUAAUGCGGUAUAAUUGUGGUGGAGGUGACAGGACAGUUAGUGAGCCCAGAAAAGGUCUCCCUCUGAGGAAUCACACCAUCCCUCAGGCCUAGAAUCACAGGAAUGGAAGCCAGGUUCCAGCAAGGACCCAUUCUUGGAGUCCAGACAGCCUGAUGUUAAGUUCUCCACUGAUGU